AGUGAACGCUGGCGGUAGGCCUAACACAUGCAAGUCGAACGGCAGCACAGUAAGAGCUUGCUCUUACGGGUGGCGAGUGGCGGACGGGUGAGGAAUACAUCGGAAUCUACUUUUUCGUGGGGGAUAACGUAGGGAAACUUACGCUAAUACCGCAUACGACCUACGGGUGAAAGCAGUGGAUCUUCGGACCUUGCGCGAUUGAAUGAGCCGAUGUCGGAUUAGCUAGUUGGCGGGGUAAAGGCCCACCAAGGCGACGAUCCGUAGCUGGUCUGAGAGGAUGAUCAGCGACACUGGAACUGGGACACGGACCAGACGCCUACGGGAGGCAGCAGUGGGGAAUAUUGGACAGUGGGCGCAAGCCUGAUCCAGCCAUACCACGUGGGUGGAGAAGGCCUUCGGGUUGUAAAGCCCUUUUGUUGGGAAAGAAAAGCAGCAGGUUAAUACCCCGCUGUUCUGGCGGUACCCAAAGAAUAAGCACCGGCUAACUUCGUG
rnacentral:rRNA from 1 species